GACGAACCGUGCGAACGUUGUUCGGAAUUACUGGGCGUAAAGCGCACGUAGGCGGAUUUGUAAGUCAGGGGUGAAAUCCCGGGGCUCAACCUCGGAACUGCCUUUGAUACUGCAAAUCUCGAGUCCGGAAGAGGUGAGUGGAAUUCCUAGUGUAGAGGUGAAAUUCGUAGAUAUUAGGAAGAACACCAGUGGCGAAGGCGGCUCACUGGUCCGGUACUGACGCUGAGGUGCGAAAGCGUGGGGAGCAAACAGG
rnacentral:rRNA from 1 species